GACGAACGCUGGCGGCGUGCCUAACACAUGCAAGUCGAGCGGAGUUUCCAGCAAUGGAUUCUUAGUGGCGAACGGGUGAGUAACGCGUAGACAACCUACCUUCGAGAUGGGGACAACACUGCGAAAGUGGUGCUAAUACCGAAUGUUGUAACGAGCAUGCAUAUGCUUGUUACUAAAGAUGGCCUCUAUUUAUAAGCUAUCGCUAGAAGAUGGGUCUGCGUCUGAUUAGCUAGUUGGUGAGGUAAUGGCUCACCAAGGCGACGAUCAGUAGCCGGUCUGAGAGGAUGAACGGCCACACUGGGACUGAGACACGGCCCAGACUCCUACGGGAGGCAGCAGUGGGGAAUCUUCCGCAAUGGACGAAAGUCUGACGGAGCAACGCCGCGUGAGUGAAGAAGGUUUUCGGAUCGUAAAACUCUGUUUUCAGGGACGAAUGUGCAGCUUGUAAAUAAUGAGUUGUAAUGACGGUACCUGAGUAGAAAGCCACGGCUAACUACGUGCCAGCAGCCGCCGUAA
rnacentral:rRNA from 1 species